AACGAACGCUGGCGGCAGGCCUAACACAUGCAAGUCGAGCGGAUCCUUCGGGAUUAGCGGCGGACGGGUGAGUAACGCGUGGGAAUAUGCCUUUCACUACGGAACAGUCUCGGGAAACUGGGUUUAAUACCGUAUACGCCCUUUUGGGGAAAGAUUUAUCGGUGAAAGAUUAGCCCGCGUUGGAUUAGGUAGUUGGUGGGGUAAUGGCCUACCAAGCCUACGAUCCAUAGCUGGUUUGAGAGGAUGAUCAGCCACACUGGGACUGAGACACGGCCCAGACUCCUACGGGAGGCAGCAGUGGGGAAUCUUAGACAAUGGGGGCAACCCUGAUCUAGCCAUGCCGCGUGAGUGAUGACGGUCUUAGGAUUGUAAAGCUCUUUCAGCUGGGAAGAUAAUGACGGUACCAGCAGAAGAAGCCCCGGCUAACUCCGUGCCAGCCGCCGCCGUAAUAC
rnacentral:rRNA from 1 species